rnacentral:rRNA from 1 species
AAUCAACGCUGGCGGCGUGCCUAACACAUGCAAGUCGAGCGCGAAUAGGGGGGUAACGUCCCUUACGUAGAGCGGCGAACGGGUGAGUAACGCGUGGGUGAUCUACCUUCGAGUGGGGAAGUAACACCGGGAAACUGGUGCUAAUACCGCAUGACAUCCUCGGUUCACUCCGGGGAGUCAAAGCCGGGGACCGGCAAGGCCUGGCGCUUGAAGAUGAGCCCGCGUCCGAUUAGCUAGUUGGCGGGGUAACGGCCCACCAAGGCGACGAUCGGUAGCCGGCCUGAGAGGG